AAAUCUACGGGGCGCAGCAGUGGGGAAUAUUGCACAAUGGGGGAAACCCUGAUGCAGCGACGCCGCGUGAGCGAAGAAGUAUUUCGGUAUGUAAAGCUCUAUCAGCAGGGAAGAAAAUGACGGUACCUGUCUAAGAAGCUCCGGCUAAAUACGUGCCAGCAGCCGCGGUAAUACGUAUGGAGCAAGCGUUAUCCGGAUUUACUGGUUGUAAAGGGAGCGUAGGCGGUAAGGCAAGUCUGAUGUGAACGGCCAGGGCUCAACCCUGGUACGGCAUUGGACACUGUUUAACUGGAGUGUCGGAGAGG
rnacentral:rRNA from 1 species